UGGCGGACGGGUGAGUAAUGUAGGGAAACUCGCCCGAUGGGAGGGGGAUAACUACGGGAAACGGUAGCUAAUACCGCAAUAAUGUCUACGGGACCAAAGCGGGGGACCUCCGGGCCUCGCGCCAUCAGAUGAACCCAUAUGGGAUUAGCUAGUAGGUAAGGUAACGGCUUACCUAGGCGACGAUCCCUAGCUGGUCUGAGAGGAUGAUCAGCCACACUGGGACUGAGACACGGCCCAG
rnacentral:rRNA from 1 species